ensembl:snRNA U6 U6 spliceosomal RNA
AUGCUUGCUUAGGCAGCACAUGUACUAAAAUUGGAACGACACAGAGAAGAUUAGCAUGGCCCCUAUGCAAGGACGACACGCAAAUUCGUGAAGCAGUCCAUAUUUUU